UCGUUGUAGCAAUACGAUGGAAAAUUUAGUGGCGAACGGGUGCUUAACACGUGGGCAACCUGCCAGGAAGUGGGGGAUAGCUCGCCGAAAGGCGAAUUAAUACCGCAUGUGAUUAGAGAGGACAUCCUUUCGAAAUUAGAGUCGGGGCAACCUGACGCUUCUUGUGGGGCCCGCGGCCUAUCAGCUAGUUGGUGAGGUAACGGCUCACCAAGGCUUUGACGGGUAGCUGGUCUGAGAGGACGACCAGCCACACUGGGACUGAGACACGGCCCAGACACCUACGGGUGGCAGCAGUCGAGAAUUUUUGACAAUGGGGGAAACCCUGAUCGAGCGACGCCGCGUGGAGGAUGAAGGUCUUCGGAUUGUAAACUCCUGUCAUUGGGGAACAAUGCACAGAUAUUAACUGUAUUUGUGUUGAUAGUACCCGAAGAGGAAGAGACGGCUAACUCUGUGCCAGCAGCCGCGGUAAUACAGAGGUCUCAAGCGUUGUUCGGAUUCAUUGGGCGUAAAGGGUGCGUAGGCGGCGCGGUAAGUCGGGUGUGAAAUCUCGGAGCUUAACUUCGAAACUGCAUUCGAUACUGCCGUGCUUGAGGACUGGAGAGGAGACUGGAAUUCUCGGUGUAGCA
rnacentral:rRNA from 1 species